rnacentral:rRNA from 1 species
UACAGAGGGGGCAAGCGUUGUUCGGAAUUACUGGGCGUAAAGGGCUCGUAGGCGGUCCGUCACGUCGGGAGUGAAAACUCGGAGCUCAACUCCGAGCCUGCUUCCGAUACGGGCAGACUAGAGGUAGGCAGGGGAGAGCGGAACUCCUGGUGUAGCGGUGGAAUGCGCAGAUAUCAGGAAGAACACCGGUGGCGAAGGCGGCUCUCUGGGGCCUUACCUGACGCUGAGGAGCGAAAGCGUGGGUAGCGAACAGG